rnacentral:lncRNA from 1 species
GUGCCUUGGAUACAACAGAAAUUUCAACCAGAGGUUUUCUGUAAAGAAAACGAAAAGGACACCAUGUGUGUUGUGAUCUUUGUGUCAGAAGACCCAUGGAGCAUGCUUCCUACAGUGUGCUGAUGCUGAACAGCCAGUAUGAUUUGGUUUCUGCUUCUCAUGCAUCGAGACAGGAAGAGUUGGUCCUGUGAAGAAACCUGUGGUGAGGAAGACAAAACCACAGUCAACAUGAAUUCCAAGUGGUAACACUUAGUGUCCUGGGAUGGAGUGCUGAGAGAAAUCCGGAGGAUUCAGAGAAGAUGACCAAAAAGGACUACUUCACAGGGCUCCCAUGUGCUCAGCUUGCAAUUGGAUUCAGCCACCAGAGAUCCCUGGCAAGAGAAUAAAGAAAAAAUAUGUGGGCCACUGGCUUAGGAAGACUGCGUUUUCAGGGGAAAUGACCCAUGGGUGAGCGCUGUGGCACAGACUUAAAAGACUAUGACACUUUCUUUUGGCCUCCAUCAUUUCUGAUAAGAAAUUCACUGUCUUUCAAAUUAUUUGCUCUCACAGAACAAGAACUCGGACCUGGCUGAGCUAGAGACUAAGCAGACUGCAAUAUUUGGGACCUCAUCUGGGAUUGUCAGAAGGUCUCCAGCCGCCAUGAGAAGACAUGCCUUGCUUCCCCUUCACCUUCUGCCAUGAUUGUAAGUUUUCUGAAACGCUCAAACCAUGCUUCCUUUUAAGCCUGCAGAACUGUGAGUAAAUUAAACCUUUUUACUUAUAAAUUGCCCAGUAUUGGGUAUUUACUUAUAGCAGUGUGAAAAUGGACUAAUACAGUCAGUUUACUUCAUUAUUUCUUUUUCUUUCCCAGCUUGUGGAUAAAUCAUGAUAGCUCUGCCACUGAUUUGCCAUGUGACUUUGAAAGUGUUACGUUUCUUCCUUCAGGAGCUCUUGUAGGGCAGACCUGGUGGUGACAAAAUCUCUCAACAUUUGCUUGUC